rnacentral:snRNA from 1 species
GUAUUUGCGCAGAGGUAGUAUCGUACCAAAUGAGGUUAAUCAGAGGUGGGAUUAUUGGUAGUUGAAAACUCCUCCCAAGUAGGGUUGGCGACAGGAUGGCAACCGGCCCUAAAAACUUAAGCCAAAACUUUAAGGUU